AUCCAACUGACGAGUCCGAAAUAGGACAAAACGCGCGUCUCGGAU
rnacentral:hammerhead_ribozyme from 1 species